GAUGAACGCUGGCGGCGUGCCUAAUACAUGCAAGUCGAGCGAACAGACGAGGAGCUUGCUCCUCUGACGUUAGCGGCGGACGGGUGAGUAACACGUGGAUAACCUACCUAUAAGACUGGGAUAACUUCGGGAAACCGGAGCUAAUACCGGAUAAUAUAUUGAACCGCAUGGUUCAAUAGUGAAAGACGGUUUUGCUGUCACUUAUAGCUGGAUCCGCGCCGCAUUAGCUAGUUGGUAAGGUAACGGCUUACCAAGGCGACGAUGCGUAGCCGACCUGAGAGGGUGAUCAGCCACACUGGAACUGAGACACGGUCCAGACUCCUACGGGAGGCAGCAGUAGGGAAUCUUCCGCAAUGGGCGAAAGCCUGACGGAGCAACGCCGCGUGAGUGAUGAAGGUCUUCGGAUCGUAAAACUCUGUUAUUAGGGAAGAACAAAUGUGUAAGUAACUAUGCACGUCUUGACGGUACCUAAUCAGAAAGCCACGGCUAACUACGUG
rnacentral:rRNA from 1 species